UACAGAGGUCCCGAGCGUUGUUCGGAUUCAUUGGGCGUAAAGGGUGCGUAGGCGGCGAGGCCAGUCUGAUGUGAAAUCCCCGGGCUCAACCCGGGAACUGCAUUGGAUACUGCCUUGCUUGAGUACUGGAGAGGGAACUGGAAUUUACGGUGUAGCAGUGAAAUGCGUAGAUAUCGUAAGGAAGACCAGUGGCGAAGGCGAGUCUCUGGACAGUUACUGACGCUGAGGCACGAAGGCCAGGGGAGCAAACGGG
rnacentral:rRNA from 1 species